GCGAGGUAGCGCAGUGCUAGCGCAGCACCCUGGCGUCCCCUGCCCUAUCAAUGGCUUAGCCGUGCUCGCGUUCAAAUCAUAAUCCUUGUGUCGGGGGUUCAAAUCCCUCCCUCGCUACCA
rnacentral:tRNA from 1 species